UACGUAGGGGGCAAGCGUUGUCCGGAUUUAUUGGGCGUAAAGAGCGUGUAGGCGGCUUGGUAGGUCUGCUGUGAAAACUCGAGGCUCAACCUCGAGCUGUCGGCGGAAACCACUUGGCUAGAGUCCGGAAGAGGAGAGUGGAAUUCCUGGUGUAGCGGUGAAAUGCGCAGAUAUCAGGAAGAACACCUAUGGCGAAGGCAGCUCUCUGGGACGGUACUGACGCUGAGACGCGAAAGCGUGGGGAGCAAACAGG
rnacentral:rRNA from 1 species